rnacentral:rRNA from 1 species
GUAAAGCCUUCGGGCGGUGAUGGAUGGCGGUGCGUCCCAUUAGGAAGUUGGCGGGGUAACGGCCCACCAAUCCUUCGAUGGGUAGGGGUUCUGAGAGGAAGGUCCCCCACAUUGGAACUGAGAUACGGUCCAAACUCCUACGGGAGGCAGCAGUGAGGAAUAUUGGUCAAUGGGCGAGAGCCUGAACCAGCCAAGUAGCGUGCGGGAUGAAGGCCCUUGUGGUCGUAAACCGCUUUUAUCAGUGAAUAAAGUGCACCACGUGUGGUGUCAUUGCAGGUAGCUGAAGAAAAAGGACCGGCUAAUUCCGUGCCAGCAGCCGCGGUAAUACGGAAGGUCCGGGCGUUAUCCGGAAUUAUUGGGUUUAAAGGGAGCGCAGGCGGGAGUAUAAGUCAGCUGUUAAAUAUCAGAGCCCAACUCUGUUAUGCAGUUGAUACUAUAUUUCUUGAGUACGCACAGGGAUGGCGGAAUUCAGGGUGUAGCGGUGAAAUGCUUAGAUAUCCUGAAGAACUCCGA